rnacentral:tRNA from 1 species
GGUGAGGAGUGUUCCAUUCUUUCAAAGGCAAUGAGAAAAAAAACAGUUGCGAUAUUAGUCAACUGUUUUGCAUGGUUUCUUUGACGCAGUUGUAAAAUCAUACUCGAAGGGUAGUUGGAAAAUUUUCAACAUUGCGUGAGAUGGCAAGAGCUCGGCCUGUUAACAUAUUAGCACGGGGAGGCCGAUGUUGAUUUGAUGAAAUGACGUGCCAGGUGAUUUUUCCAUUCGCCAUGCCGGGGGGUUUGAGAAAAAAAUUUUUUCUCCGUCGGAGAUAAAAAAAAAAAAGAAAAGAAAAAUUAACGACCCCAGUGAGGGUUGAACUCACGAUCUUGCGAUUAACAGUCGCACGCCUUAACCAACUUGGCCAUGGAGUCAUUUUAUCUUGUGUCACUUUUACAGAAAAAGUAUUACUAAUAUUUUUCCGC